rnacentral:lncRNA from 1 species
CUUGGAGUGUUUUCUUAAAAUUUAUAUCACACUAGAUCACAUCAAUGUCAGAUAUCGCGGGUCUGUGACAGAAUUAAAGUAUAUAACUAUGCGUAAGCCUUAUUUUAGUGUUGGGAUUGUCAUCUGAUAAAGUCAUGCUGGUUAUAAGACGCACAGUUUUCUCUGCUUUCAAAAUCUUUCUGUUUGAACCCGUCGACCUGGAACUUAUCAAUUAUUGGUAAUAUUAAUUAUUUGGAAAACAAAAGGUCCUAAAAUGAAGUAUUUUUUAAUCAACAGCAUUGUCCUAUAUUAGUUAUAAAUAAAGUUGAAUUCUUUGAUUCACUGUUUUACACCAUGCCCGCU